rnacentral:rRNA from 1 species
GCAGCUAACGCAUUAAGCAUUUCCGCCUGGGGAGUACGGUCGCAAGAUUAAAAUUCAAAGGAAUUGACGGGGGCCCGCACAAGCGGUGGAGCAUGUGGUUUAAUUCGAAGCAACGCGCAGAACCUUACCACGUUUUGACAUGUCUCGCUAUCCAGAGAGAUUUGGAGUUCCCUUCGGGGACGAGAACACAGGUGCUGCAUGGCUGUCGUCAGCUCGUGUUGUGAGAUGUUGGGUUAAGUCCCGCAACGAGCGCAACCCUCGCCUUUAGUUGCUACCAGGUUUGGCUGAGCACUCUAAAGGGACUGCCGGAGCUAAUCCGGAGGAAGGCGGGGAUGACGUCAAGUCCUCAUGGCCCUUACAGGGUGGGCUACACACGUGCUACAAUGGCGACUACAGAGGGCUGCAAUCCCGCGAGGGGGAGCUAAUCCCUAAAAGUCGUCUCAGUUCGGAUUGCUCUCUGCAACUCGAGAGCAUGAAGUCGGAAUCGCUAGUAAUCGCGGAUCAGCGUGCCGCGGUGAAUACGUUCCCGG